CUUCAUGAAUAACAAUACAGCCGAUCCAGGAUGUCAACAAAUAUGACAAUGGCGGCUGGAGUGAUUGUGGUGGGGACAAGAUAGCACUUCAAUACAACCAUUUCCUUGUGUUUUGCCUGCUGCCUUAGUCCAACAUGGGCAACCUCCCCCCGGAUCAGCCACGAUUGGAUGAGAGGAUCGAUACCGGUUCUACUGAUUGUAGAUUGUAGGUUAUUCACAAAACAGUUUGAAGUCGUUAUUACAAGGAGGUAACCCGACAAUGUCGUCGGAUAUGGCCUUUCGAAACCCUGCCUUCGUCCGUACGGACAGUGUACUUAUGACGAACACGACAGCUACCCCAUCAGAGGCUUCCGUCCAGAUGCGACCGGUCAUCGUCCAGCCAAAGAAAUUGGAUAUCUGUGGACUAACACACGGGGAGUUCAACUCCCAGCGCGGGGCGAGGACCUGCGCCUGGGUGGUUAUGAUAAGUAGCAUCAUCGUCUUCGGGUGCUGCAUCGUCCUGGGUGUGAAUGACGCACCUACCGGUUGGUCCGCCGUAAUCGGGGUCGUAUACUUCGUCGCCGGAAUUCUCUGCCACUUGUCUUGCUGGUAUAAGUUAACUUUGUGCAUUACUCUUGCGACUGUAGGAGUGCUCCUCUCUGCAGCAUUCGGAUUAGUCCAGGUCGUAUGGGCUGUAAUAGCCAUUGUGGAAUAUUCGGAACUCAACACGAAUCUUUUGAGUAGGACGUCUAAGUUUGUUUUGACAGCCAAUAUCUUGUUAGGGCUAAUGGCAAUUGCUACCAUAGCCAGUGCAAUUGUCUUCUCCAUUAAAGGAUGCAAGGUGCUUUUUUCACACAAGGACAAACGCUCUCAUGCAAAGUAUAGAGCGACGCAGAGAUACCCAAAACCGACUCACGAUGAAGUUUUCAUUUAGUCAUAUUUGUUUUGCUUUCGCAACCCUUUCAUAAAUCUAUCUAGAGGUGAAUGGUCAUGAUGUCUAGUUGAACGGCCAUCACACGCAUGCUACAGUGUUAAAAAUGAAUGACGCUUUCGCAUUCUCUAAGUUUUUGGAAGGCACGAAUAAGCUCUCUGCGGUGUCUUCGUUCGAAGAACCGUGCCGUUUAUGCACACGGACAUCUCACCAGUCGUGCAAGUUAUAGUUAAAAAAGUGGUCAUGACAUCAAUCGAUUAUAAUCAAAAAUCAACAUACAUGUACUCAAGUCACUCCUGUCCCUGAUAGAGAGGUGUCCUGAUUAGAGUGGUCAAAGUGGAUAGAAUAAACCAAUUUUGUACCAAAACUAGUGUCCUUAUCAGAGAGGUUGUCCUUAAUGGAGAGGUGUCUGCUAUGGGAGGUUCUACGGCAUCGGUAUAGGCCUAUGGUUGACUUAUGGAGUCUAAUUAAAAAAUGACUGAUUACCAAUGAAUACGAAACAAAUGUAAUACUUCGACUAUGAUUGAUGAAGUCUUAUUGUCUUCCUUUUCAUGUUUUCUUUCUGAUAAGGAACUUCUUUUUUUCACUCAGCCAAUGUUGGAAUUGUAUACAAAGGAGUAAACUUGGACUAUAUGUCAAA